AGGCUAUUGAGCUUGAUGAUGACGAUAUUUCAUUCAUUACUAACCGUGCUGCUGUCUACUUGGAGAUGGGAAAGCUUUCCCUUUUUAUCCUAUACGCCGAGGGUCGACUGGAAACAGCCUCUCUGCCCUUUCGGGUGUUGUAUUUGUUGGCUUUAUUAUUCGUAAAGACGUGAGUAUUCAUAUGAACCGCCUCUCUACCCUUUCGGGUAGGGGUAAGGCUCGUCUACAUAGUACCCUCCCCAGACCCCACCUGGUGGGAAUAUACUGGGUAGUUGUUGUUGUUGUUGUUGUUGUUGUUAAUGGUAAACUGUUUGAUUAUCACUAGAAGAACUGUAUACUUUGUAGUAAGUAGUAACCCAAGUCCGAAGAUGCAGCCUUCUGGUCGUGAACUAAAAUUGAAAUGGACGGUUCUGCAAUUGACUACUGCUGCUAUGCCUCGGCCCAUACAUAAAUAGGAGAUCAUCUUACUACACGUUUAUCUGAAAUUAGAUUUAGUUUAUCCUCUUUAACUUCUGAUGGUUGCAGUGAGCACUUUGUCGUAAUCCAAUUAUGUCAUCAAACAUAGCUCAUUUGCAGCGAGUUAAGAUUCAAACUAUCGUAGGAGACCUCACCUCAAAUUUCUAACUUUUUGCAAACUUUUGAACAUUUAUUUCCUGCUUUGCUUCCUGAAGAAAGCUAUGAAAUAUCUGUGGUCACUUGCCUCUCCUCUUGUGUUUUGUGACAUAGCCUCUUCACGGAUUUGGUGCUUGAUUUUGCACAGCUAAUUUUCAGUCUUUUCUUAACAACUUCGCUGCAACUUUCUUUUGACUUUUGACAGGUUUCAUAUCAAGUUGCUAAAUGGAAUGGGACAAAAGUUUCUGUCAAGAUGCUUGACAAGGAUAGCUAUUCAGACCCCGAAACCAUGUAUGUUGUCAACGUAUUUUCAGUUAAUCUUCUAUUUCACGCCCAUAGGCCACUCUGUUCUCGGAUUGGGA
rnacentral:lncRNA from 1 species